AGGGGAAGAAGGAGCAACAGGGAUUGCCCCAGUAACGGCGAGUGAAGCGGCAACAGCUCAAAUUUGAAAUCUGGCUCUCAGGGCCCGAGUUGUAAUUUGUAGAGGAUGCUUUUGGCGAGGUGCCUUCCGAGUUCCCUGGAACGGGACGCCACAGAGGGUGAGAGCCCCGUAUGGUCGGACACCGAGCCUCUGUAAAGCUCCUUCGACGAGUCGAGUAGUUUGGGAAUGCUGCUCAAAAUGGGAGGUAUAUGUCUUCUAAAGCUAAAUAUUGGCCAGAGACCGAUAGCGCACAAGUAGAGUGAUCGAAAGAUGAAAAGCACUUUGAAAAGAGGGUUAAAAAGUACGUGAAAUUGUUGAAAGGGAAGCGCCUAUGACCAGACUUGCGCCCGGUGAAUCACCCAGCGUUCUCGCUGGUGCACUUUGCCGGGCACAGGCCAGCAUCAGUUCAGCGCGGGGGAGAAAGGCUUCGGGAAUGUGGCUCCCUCGGGAGUGUUAUAGCCCGCUGCGUAAUGCCCUGCGCCGGACUGAGGUACGCGCAUUGCAAGGAUGCUGGCGUAAUGGUCAUCAGCGACCCGUCUUGAAACACGGACCAAGGAGUCGUCUUCGUAUGCGAGUGUUCGGGUGUCAAACCCCUACGCGUAAUGAAAGUGAACGCAGGUGAGAGCUUCGGCGCAUCACCGACCGAUCCUGAUGUUCUCGGAUGGAUUUGAGUAAGAGCAUACGGGGCCGGACCCGAAAGAAGGUGAACUAUGCCUGUAUAGGGUGAAGCCAGAGGAAACUCUGGUGGAGGCUCGCAGCGGUUCUGACGUGCGAAUCGAUCGUCAAAUAUGGGCAUGGGGGCGAAAGACUAAUCGAACCUUCUAGUAGCUGGUUUCCGCGAGUUU
rnacentral:rRNA from 1 species